GCCGGGUGUUGUGGCGGGCGCCUGUAGUCCCAGCUACUCGGGAGGCUGAGGCAGGAGAAUCGCUUGAGCCCAGGAGUUGGAGGUUGCUGUGAGCUGUGUGACGCCACAGCACUCUACCAAGGGCCACAAAGUGAGACUCUUGUCUCUA
rnacentral:SRP_RNA from 1 species